rnacentral:rRNA from 1 species
GUGAGGAAUAUUGGACAAUGGGCGCAAGCCUGAUCCAGCCAUGCCGCGUGCAGGAAGACGCAUCUAUGGUGUGUAAACUGCUUUUGUACGGGAAGAAACACUCCCUCGUGAGGGAGCUUGACGGUACCGUAAGAAUAAGGAUCGGCUAACUCCGUGCCAGCAGCCGCGGUAAUACGGAGGAUCCAAGCGUUAUCCGGCAUCAUUGGGUUUAAAGGGUCCGUAGGCGGUUUAAUAAGUCAGUGGUGAAAGCCCAUCGCUCAACGAUGGAACGGCCAUUGAUACUGUUAGACUUGAAUUACAAGGAAGUAACUAGAAUAUGUAGUGUAGCGGUGAAAUGCGUAGAUAUUACAUGGAAUACCAAUUGCGAAGGCAGGUUACUACUUGUGGAUUGACGCUGAUGGACGAAAGCGUGGGGAGCGAACAGGAUUAGAUACCCGGGUAGUCC